CUCUAAAGUUAUACAAAAUUAUUCCUCGGCAUCAAGAGAAACAGAGUACAAAGAUACAUGGCCAGGCGUUAUUUAUUGGACCCAUAUCCUACAGGGCUGGCAUCGGGGAUGCGGGUAGCCAAGGAGAAGAAUAAUGACAUCAGCAGUGACAACAGGCUGGAAGCAGUAAAGAACAUAAAACAGAGUAGCUGAGAUAAUAGGGGGCAAAUGCAACAAGCGGCCGCUGGACUCUAGAAGAAGAGGCCGCUGCCACUUCUUAGGAGGAACUAGUUCUUUGGUGGGAGACAGAACGAGAAUCAUUGACAGCUGUUACUCACAUUCCUCAUGGCAGCUGCUUGUCCUCCAGAAGUUCAAAGGGUCGUACUCUUCACCUACGCUGGAGUGCAGUGGCACGAUCAUGUCUCACUAUAGCCUCGAUUUCCUGGACUCCGGUUAUUCUCCCACCUCAGCCUCCUAACUGGCUGGGACCACAGAUAAUGUUAGUUUUGAUCAGGAUUCACACAGAAGAACCAGGAAACAUUGAAAAAGGCCUCAGCAUGUACAUAAUCAGGUCGCAUGGAGAACUGGAACUCAACAAGAAUUCAAGCUACUCUGGAUGCACAACAACAAUUCCGGUAGUAAAUUAUUCCUGCAACUCAGUUUCAAUCUCUCUAUGUAAUUCUUUCUCUACUUCUGUUUCCACUAUUGACUGAGACUUGAGCUAACUGACUUCUGUUUUUGCAGUUAUUCCUGUAUUAUGGCUCUUGUUUACUGAAAACUCUUCGUGACUUUUCUUCUGUGCUGCUAUGUCUUCUGAGUCUCUCUAUUCUUUGUAUUCAAGUUCUUCAAGAAAAACCAUCUAGUCGGACAAAUAAUUAUAGUACGGUAUAGAGUACCUACAUUGAAUGGGUGUCUAAGUUUAGGACAUACCUCAAAGGCUGUAGUAGAUAAGUAGGUAAGUUGAUAAGGGUCAUUGUAGGGUUGAGUGCCUUUGGUGUUGGUAUAAUGGGGUCUAAAGCUUAGUUACAUAGGGGUUAGAAUCAAGCAUCUUUGGUUAUGUAAAAGUCACUUAUUUCUUUUAUGAGCAUCGAAUUGUGAGUAGACAAUUCAGGCAAGUUAAUGAGUGAUAUGAAAGAAAGAAAUAACUAAGAGAAGGAGGAGGAGGAAGAGCAGGAACAAGUGGCUUGGGAAAAGUAUAUUACAGUAAUACUUGGCAUGCUUUAUAUGUUUUAUUUGAAACUGAUAAUAAUAUAACUUUCUAGGAAGAAUUAUUUUUUAGCUCUUGAAGAAACCAAGGUAUUAAAAUUGUCAAUCACAUUGCCAAACAAAAAUACAACAUAUAAUAAUCAAAAUUAGAAAUAUGAUAAUAGG